CUCACACAGACGCCCCAUUCCCCUCGGCCCCAGGCAACGGUCACCGUCACCCGCAAACCCCGUACCCCUCACACAGACGCCCCAUUCCCCUCAGCCCCAGGCAACGGUCACCGUCACCCACAAACCCCGUACCCCUCACACAGACGCCCCCAUUCCCCUCGGCCCCAGGCAACGGUCACCGUCACCCGCAAACCCUGUACCCCUCACACAGACGCCCCCAUUCCCCUCGGCCCCAGGCAACGGUCACCGUCACCCACAAACCCCGUACCCCUCACACAGACGCCCCAUUCCCCUCGGCCCCAGGCAACGGUCACCGUCACCCACAAACCCCGUACCCCUCACACAGACGCCCCCAUUCCCCUCGGCCCCAGGCAACGGUCACCGUCACCCACAAACCCUGUACCCCUCACACAGAUGCCCCAUUCCCCUCGGCCACAGGCAAUGGUCACCGUCACCCACAAACCCCGUACCCCUCACACAGACGCCCCAUUCCCCUCGGCCCCAGGCAAUGGUCACCGUCACCCACAAACCCCGUACCCCUCACACAGAUGCCCCAUUCCCCUCGGCCCCAGGCAACGGUCACCGUCACCCACAAACCCUGUACCCCUCACACAGACGCCCCAUUCCCCUUGUCACACAGGCCCUAGCCACUGCUCACCCGCUUUCUGCCUCUGGAUUUGCCACUUCUGGACAGUUCACACACAUGCGGUCACAUAACAUGGGGUCUUUUGUGACUUGCUUCUUCAUUUAGCACGAUAUCAAGGCUUGUCUAUGUGGAUGUCUGUGUCAGCUUCCUCCUUUUCCGUGGCU
rnacentral:lncRNA from 1 species